UACGUAGGGGGCAAGCGUUGUCCGGAUUUAUUGGGCGUAAAGAGCGUGUAGGCGGCUAGAUAGGUCCGUUGUGAAAACUCGAGGCUCAACCUCGAGACGCCGGUGGAAACCAUCUAGCUAGAGUCCGGAAGAGGAGAGUGGAAUUCCUGGAUGUGAGCGGUGAAAUGACGCAGAUAUCAGGAAGAACACCCGUGGCGAAGGCGGCUCUCUGGGACGUGACUGACGCUGAGACGCGAAAGCGUGGGGAGCGAACAGG
rnacentral:rRNA from 1 species